UUCCCUGCAUGACAGGAAGAGACAGGAACAUCUCAAUGCAUCACCACACAACAAUCUGCUACCUGCAUUUAUACAAACAGCAAUACAAUAGAUAUACAUAGAUUUCUAGGAUCCUAUUGUAACUCAGUUAGGUACAAACUGCCAGAAUAUCUUGCCAGGUUUUACCCUUAAACAAGUCACAAAUUUGUUGUAAACAGUUAUUUACUACUGGUAAUCUUUUCCUAUAUCAUAACCACUAACUGCUGACCCAUAGAUUCCUCCUGUACCGUCACACUCACUGAUCCAUACAAUUCUGCCUGCACUGACACUGACCAUAAGUUCCUCCUGUACUGUAAUUGUUAGAAUGUUUCAAGAGUUCCACCCACAUGAAAAGUAUUUCUUAUUUACCCACAGAUAAAGUUAUGAAUAGAAGGAUAAUGAAAUGACUUCAGUCGGUAAUCAUCUAAGGUUUAUAGCCUUAAAGACAUAGAAUAAAAUUUAUCUUCACUCAAUUUUUGGUGAAUCCAUGUGCAGGUAGUAGGGAUUAUAAAAUGUUUGUAGAUCCCCACAUCUCUCUUAGUACCAGGUUAUUCCACUGUGAGGAACCUCACGGCUUACCUGACUUCUGUGUAUGCACCUUCCAACAGACGGCACAACAAUCAGGAGCAGAAGUCCUUGUUGAUUUGUGUUCCCUGCUUUAGGAUUGGUGAGGUCACUGUAGAGCUGAGGUUUUCUUUUCCUAAAGCAUCUCCCUCUAGCCCUAGCUAGGCAAUUCUUUCAGCCUCAUUUAACUCCCCCAUGAAUUUGGCCCUUCCAUGGAAUUGCUGUUAACAGUGCUAACGUGCAGCCCAGAGCCAUUGUCUCCAAGCAUAAAUACCUUCUUCCCAUUAAAACAUUCUAAGCCUUCCUUUAAUUUCUGACAAUCAGUUGGCUUACUCUCAAGCUGACUGUAGAAAAGCUCACAUGAACUCCUUCAUUUUUUUCCCCUUCAAUUAAAGAUACAGUCCCAAAAUAUAACAAUCUUCUAAACUUCAUAAUUAUCAUUUAAAUAUUCUGUUUGACAUAUGCAGCUACAUUUCAGUGGAUAUGAGAAGGAUUUUUUUUUCUCUGUCGGAGGAUCAUGUGUCUUUGGAGCUCUCUUUCUUCAAAAGCACGGGAGAAGGGGAUCAUUGGAUAUUUUUAAGGUAGAGGUUGAUAAAACCUCGACUAAUUAGGGAGUCAGAAGGGUAAUAGGGUAAACAGGAAUAUGGAUUAACCAUCAUCUUAUCAAAUGGCAAUGCAAACUUGAGGGGCCGAAUGGCCUACUCUUGCUCCUAACGUAUAUGUUUUAAAUGUACGAGGGUGAAAUUAAAUAACAAAGAAUUUUUUUUUUCCAUUUGGGGCUGCCAUGCAGUUAAGGACUAAAUGCAAUACUGCAGAUGCACUGGGCCAACACAAACCAUUUUACCAUGUGAGGAACAUGGGCUCAAUUUCCCAAAGCACCAAUUAUGAAUCUCAAACAGCCUAUUCUGGGAGAACCUGGGAAGAGUGAAUUCAAAGGAAGCCACCUCUGACUGUUUGCUAGCACUUUAAAGCCACAAGACCUGCAGCAUAUCUCAGAAAACAGGGACACACGACACAUCUACUAUCCAUGCCAGAGACAGGAGUACUGUUUCACCACAGGUUAUCAAUAUAUAAACAACCUAACAUUGCACUGUUACAGCUUCCAGAAGCGGAAAUGACCAAAUACUGCGAGUGCUGGUGAUCAGAAAAUGGUGCUGGAAAAUCUCACAGAUCAGCAGCCUUUGUAAAGAGAGGAGGAUACAGCAUUCUAUCAGAACCCAUGAAAGGUACUCUGAGAACUUGUUCAACCCUUCCUCGUGUAAUCCCAGCAAUGGAAAAAUCUUGAAGAAGCGCUCCACUUGUGAUACUUACCACUUCUGAACCUCAUAGGAGCCGCUGGACACAAGAGGAAGCUGGAGAAGCUCACUUUAAUGACGCCAGGUUGUGGUGACAAAACAUUUUUCACUGUAAUUUCCAAAUACAUGUGACAAUAAAAUCAUUCAUUCAUUCCCAGACUAACAACACAAUGAUUGAAUUUGCAAUC